rnacentral:rRNA from 1 species
CGCGUAGGUAACCUGCCUUGUAGCGGGGGAGUAACUAUUGGAAACGAUAGCUAAUACCGCAUAACAAUGGGUGACACAUGUCAUUUAUUUGAAAGGGGCAAUUGCUCCACUACAAGAUGGACCUGCGUUGUAUUAGCUAGUAGGUGAGGUAACGGCUCACCUAGGCGACGAUACAUAGCCGACCUGAGAGGGUGAUCGGCCACACUGGGACUGAGACACGGCCCAG